UACGUAGGGGGCUAGCGUUGUCCGGAUUUAUUGGGCGUAAAGAGCGUGUAGGCGGCCAUGUAGGUCCGGUGUGAAAACUCGAGGCUUAACCUCGAGAUGUCAUCGGAAACCAUUUGGCUAGAGUCCGGAAGAGGAGAGUGAAUUCCUGGUGUAGCGGUGAAAUGCGCAGAUAUCAGGAAGAACACCAAUGGCGAAGGCAGCUCGCUGGGACGGUACUGACGCUGAGACGCGAAAGCGUGGGGAGCGAACAGG
rnacentral:rRNA from 1 species